rnacentral:tRNA from 1 species
AAAAAUUUAGUUAAAAUAUAACACCAAUUUGUCAUAUUGGAAUUAAUUUCAAUAAUUAAUUUUUA